AUACGGAGGGUGCAAGCGUUACUCGGAAUCACUGGGCGUAAAGCGCGCGCAGGCGGUCUUUUAAGUUGGAUGUGAAAGCCUACAGCUCAACUGUAGAACUGCAUCCAAAACUAUUAGACUAGAGUCUGGGAGGGGAAGAUGGAAUUAGUUGUGUAGGGGUAAAAUCCGUAGAGAUAACUAGGAAUACCAAAAGCGAAGGCGAUCUUCUGGAACAGUACUGACGCUGAGGCGCGAAAGCGUGGGGAGCAAACAGGAUUAGAAACCCCUGUAGUCC
rnacentral:rRNA from 1 species